AUUAGGUCUAUUCUACAUAUUGAGGUGGAGGGUUGAACGAUGCAAAUACCUAUAAAUUUAAAAGAUAACCAACCGCAGUUGUACCAAUACGACGAAUAUGCAAAUAGCAAUAUGCUUGGUUUUUGGGGCGGAGGUGUGCAAUAUUGAGGUGAAGGUCUAUCUGCUAAUAUCACUUACACAAUGCAAUGGAAAUGUGAGUCUGGAAUGACGGCAUCAUCGACCCCCGCUUGGAGUCUGGAUGAUGUUUUGGGGUCAAGAGUAUGUCAAGAAUAUAACACAGUAAACCCAACUCACACGAUGAAAUAUGAGCAGAAUAAAGAAAAGUAAUAGGAAAUGUAAACAUUGGA